rnacentral:rRNA from 1 species
UACGUAGGUGGCAAGCGUUGUCCGGAUUUACUGGGCGGAAAGAGCGCGCAGGCGGCUGGGCAAGUCCGAUGUGAAAGCUUCCGGCUUAACUGGAAAAUUGCAUCGGAAACUGCUCGGCUUGAAGGUGGGAGAGGGUAGCGGAAUUCCCGGUGUAGUGGUGAAAUGCGUAGAUAUCGGGAGGAACUCCAGUGGCGAAGGCGGCUACCUGGCCCACUCUUGACGCUGAGGCGCGAAAGCUAGGGGAGCAAACGGG